CAGCCGCCGCGGUAAUACGUAGGUGGCAAGCGUUGUCCGGAAUUAUUGGGCGUAAAGGGCUCGCAGGCGGCUUCUUAAGUCUGAUGUGAAAGCCCCCGGCUCAACCGGGGAGGGUCAUUGGAAACUGGGAAACUUGAGUGCAGAAGAGGAGAGUGGAAUUCCACGUGUAGCGGUGAAAUGCGUAGAGAUGUGGAGGAACACCAGUGGCGAAGGCGACUCUCUGGUCCGUAACUGACGCUGAGGAGCGAAAGCGUGGGGAGCGAACAGGAUUAGAUACCCCAGUAGUCCCUGUCUCUUAUAA
rnacentral:rRNA from 1 species